AUGAGCAGCACUCUCUGCCCCUUCCUACCUCAUGGUCCUGCUGAUUCUUCAACAUUACAUCCUCAUUGUCCCUGGAUCAGGCCACCCCUUCUUCUCUGGACCUGGCAGUUAAAAUCAAGAAUAAGGGAUAGCAGGCUACAGUUGAGGGAAAUCAUCUUAAGAAGAAAAAACUUGCAAGCAAGUACAAGGGCCAAUACAUCUGUUUCUAUUUCAUUACACAGUUCUCUCCCUGGAUUCACCUGA
rnacentral:lncRNA from 1 species